rnacentral:rRNA from 1 species
UACAGAGGUCUCAAGUGUUGUUCGGAAUAAUUGGGCGUAAAGGGUGCGCAGGCUGCCGUUAAAGUCGAUCAUUAAAGAGCUGGGCUCAACCCAGUUAAUGAGGUCGAGACUGCACGGCUAGGGAUCUGGAGAGGGUAGCCGGAAUUCACGGUGUAGCAGUGAAAUGCGUAGAUAUCGUGAGGAAGACCAAAGGCGAAGGCAGGUAUCUGGACAGAAUCCGACGCUCAUGCACGAAGGCUAAGGGAGCAAACGGG